rnacentral:rRNA from 1 species
GACGAACGCUGGCGGCGUGCCUAAUACAUGCAAGUAGAACGCUGAAGAGAGGAGCUUGCUCUUCUUGGAUGAGUUGCGAACGGGUGAGUAACGCGUAGGUAACCUGCCUUGUAGCGGGGGAUAACUAUUGGAAACGAUAGCUAAUACCGCAUAACAAUGGAUGACACAUGUCAUUUAUUUGAAAGGGGCAAUUGCUCCACUACAAGAUGGACCUGCGUUGUAUUAGCUAGUAGGUGAGGUAACGGCUCACCUAGGCGACGAUACAUAGCCGACCUGAGAGGGUGAUCGGCCACACUGGGACUGAGACACGGCCCAGACGCCUACGGGAGGCAGCAGUAGGGAAUCUUCGGCAAUGGGGGCAACCCUGACCGAGCAACGCCGCGUGAGUGAAGAAGGUUGUCGGAUCGUAAAGCUCGGUUGUAAGUCAAGAACGAGUGUGAGAGUGGAAAGUUCACACUGUGACGGUAGCUUACCAGAAAGGGACGGCUAACUACGUG